AGCGAACGUUAGCGGCGCGCCUAACACAUGCAAGUCGCACGAGAAAGGGCUUCGGCCCCGGUAAAGUGGCGCACGGGUGAGUAACACGUGGGCAACCUGCCCAACCCUGGGGGAUAACCUGCCGAAAGGCGGGCUAAUACCGCGUACGAGGGCUCGACUUCGGUCGGGUUCUGAAAGCAGGCCUCUGUAUACAAGCUUGUGGGGUUGGAUGGGCCCGCGCUCCAUCAGCUAGUUGGUGAGGUAACGGCUCACCAAGGCUACGACGGAUAGCUGGUCUGAGAGGAUGAUCAGCCACACUGGAACUGAGACACGGUCCAGACUCCUACGGGAGGCAGCAGUGGGGAAUCUUGCGCAAUGGACGAAAGUCUGACGCAGCGACGCCGCGUGGGUGACGAAGGCCUUCGGGUUGUAAAGCCCUGUGGGGUGAGACGAACAGCUGGGAUUCGAAUAGGGCCUCGGUCUGACGGUAUCACCUUAGCAAGCACCGGCUAACUCUGUGCCAGCCGCCGCGGUAAUAC
rnacentral:rRNA from 1 species